GCCAGGUGUUGUGGUGUACGCCUGUAGUCCCAGCUACUUGGGAGGCUGAGGCAGGAGAAUCGCUUGAACCCAGGAGGCGGAGGUUGCAGUGAGCUGAGAUCACACCACUGAACUCCAGCCUGGGUGACAGAGCAAGACUCUGUCUCAA
ensembl:misc_RNA Metazoa_SRP Metazoan signal recognition particle RNA